rnacentral:tRNA from 1 species
UGGCAUAAUGAUUAAGUGUUUGGCUGCUAAUCAAAAGGUUGGCAGUUUGAAUCUGCC